GACGGGACCGCACAAGCGGUGGAUGAUGUGGAUUAAUUCGAUGCAACGCGAAAAACCUUACCUACCCUUGACAUGUCCGGAAUCCUGCAGAGAUGCGGGAGUGCCCGAAAGGGAAUCGGAACACAGGUGCUGCAUGGCUGUCGUCAGCUCGUGUCGUGAGAUGUUGGGUUAAGUCCCGCAACGAGCGCAACCCUUAUCCAUUAGUUGCUACGCAAGGGCACUCUAAUGAGACUGCCGGUGACAAACCGGAGGAAGGUGGGGAUGACGUCAAGUCCUCAUGGCCCUUAUAGGUGGGGCUACACACGUCAUACAAUGGCCGGUACAGAGGGUAGCCAACCCGCGAGGGGGAGCCAAUCCCACAAAGCCGGUCGUAGUCCGGAUCGCAGUCUGCAACUCGACUGCGUGAAGUCGGAAUCGCUAGUAAUCGCGGAUCAGCAUGUCGCGGUGAAUACGUUCCCGGGUCUU
rnacentral:rRNA from 1 species